ACCUAUUACAUGGGAGUAGUUCCUUAUUUAGGUUUUCUAAUCACUUUAGGUUCUUGUUAUCGUUUGGCAAAUUUUAAUGUAGAUGAAAGACAAACGGAUUCUUUCAUUGGUCUUCCUACACCAGCUAAUGCUAAAGGUGUUCUAGACUCAGCAGAUAGAAGUUUUAGAUUUACUCCUGCUGACCUAAACGAAGACCCAAAUAUUCUUCCUUUCGAAAUCACUAAGAUUCGUAACGGUAAGAGUAUGAAGUUUAAUGUGCACAUGAACUGGGAUUGUCUAAAGGUAAUACCUGAAAAAAGCACAGAAGUUAUAGGCGGUAAGAUACUAAACAAGUACGGAAACGACACGAAAGAAAAUGUAGGUGAUUUAGGAUGAUAGCAGUGAUAGGCGAUGUAAUGCUUGAUGAGUACAUAUAUGGCAGCUCAACUCGCAUGUCUCCUGAAUGCGACACAGCACCUGUAGUAGUUAUAAACCCACCUAUAACAUCUAUAGGCGGAGCAGGAAACACAGCCUUAAAUAUACACUACUUAGACGGCGAUGUUAAACUAUACUGUGCAGCAAAUCAAGAUAGCGAACUUGUUAAUCUUAUUUAUACCUCUGGUAUUAAGUAUCAUAUAAACAAUAAUCAAUCUACUGACGUAGUAAAAAGACGUAUAUAUAGCAAUGGGCAAUAUUUAGCUAGGCUUGAUAUUGAUUCUAGAAUAAGACACUAUGAAGCUGGAUUAGUAGACGCGAUGAUAAAAGACUCGCCUAAGAUAGUGUUAAUCAGUGAUUAUGGCAAAGGUACUAUAAAAAAUCCUUCAUACAUAAUACAACAAGCCCGAGAUGCAGGAGCCAUAGUUCUUGUAGAUUCUAAGAGUAAUCUAUAUGACUUCAAAGGUGCAACAGUUAUCAAACCUAAUCUCAAAUAGUUCUUUGAGUGGGCAGGCAUUUUACAGCCUAAAGACAUAGACGAAUCAGAUAAUGCUAAGGCCGAGAAGCUUUUUGGACGUAAGUUCAAAGAGUGGAUCCGCUGACCCGGUUCUGUAGUAGUUUAGCAAUGGUGUGACACAGGAAGGCAGUCCAGCCCGGGCGAUGGUUGUCCCGGGGUAAGGUUGUAGCGAGAUACGUAGGCAAAUCCGCGUAUCGUUUAAGUGAGAACUGAUGCCGAGCCGUAAGGCGAAGUGGAUGAUCCUAUGCUGUCAAGAAAAGCAUCUAGCGAGAAUAUGAGUGACCCGUACCCGAAACCGACACAGGUGGUCAGGUAGAGAAUACCAAGGCGAUCGAGAUAAUUGUGGAUAAGGAACUCGGCAAAAUGCCCCCGUAACUUCGGGAGAAGGGGGGCCCUUUGACGUGUAGGAGUUUUCCUCCGAAGCGUUGGAAGGCCGCAGAGACCAGGCUCAAGCGACUGUUUACCAAAAACACAGGUCCGUGCGAAGUAGCAAUACGAUGUAUACGGACUGACGCCUGCCCGGUGCUGGAAGGUUAAGGGGACUGGUUAGCCGCAAGGCGAAGCUGAGAACUUAAGCCCCAGUAAACGGCGGUGGUAACUAUAACCAUCCUAAGGUAGCGAAAUUCCUUGUCGGGUAAGUUCCGACCUGCACGAAUGGCGUAACGACUUGAGCGCUGUCUCAUCCGUAAACUCGGCGAAAUUGCAGUACGAGUAAAGAUGCUCGUUACGCGCAGAAAGACGGAAAGACCCCGGGACCUUUACUAUAUCUUGAUAUUGGUGUUCGGAACGGUUUGUGUAGCAUAGGUGGGAGACUUUGAAGCGGGCACGCCAGUGUUUGUGGAGUCAUCGUUGAAAUACCACUCUGAUCGUUUUGAACUUCUAACCUCGGUCCAUAAUCUGGAUCAGGGACAGUGUCUGGUGGGUAGUUUGACUGGGGCGGUCGCCUCCUAAAAAGUAACGGAGGCGCUCAAAGGUUCCCUCAGCCUGGUUGGCAAUCAGGUGUCGAGUGUAAGUGCACAAGGGAGCUUAACUGUGAGACAGACAUGUCGAGCAGGUGCGAAAGCAGGAACUAGUGAUCCGGCGGUGGCUUGUGGAAGCGCCGUCGCUCAACGGAUAAAAGGUACCCCGGGGAUAACAGGCUGAUCUUGCCCAAGAGUCCAUAUCGACGGCAAAGUUUGGCACCUCGAUGUCGGCUCGUCUCAUCCUGGGGCUGGAGUAGGUCCCAAGGGUUGGGCUGUUCGCCCAUUAAAGAGGCACGCGAGCUGGGUUCAGAACGUCGUGAGACAGUUCGGUCCCUAUCUUCUGUGCGCGUAAGAAACUUGAGAAGGGCUGACCCUAGUACGAGAGGACCGGGUCGGACGAACCUCUGGUGUGUCGGUUGUUCCGCCAGGAGCACCGCCGAUUAGCUACGUUCGGAAGGGAUAACCGCUGAAAGCAUCUAAGCGGGAAGCUCGCUUCAAGAUUAGGUUUCCCACUGGUUUACCAGGUAAGACCCCCAAGAGACUAUUGG
rnacentral:rRNA from 1 species